rnacentral:SRP_RNA from 1 species
GCCAGGCAUGGUGGUGCAUGCCUGUAAUCCCAGCUACCCAGGAGGCUAAGGCAGGAAGAUCGCUGGAGUCCAGGAGUUCUGGGUUGUAGUGCGCUAUGCCGAUCAGGAGUCCACACUAAGUUUAGCAUCAAUAUGGUGACCUCCCGGGAGCGGGGGACCACCAGGUUGCCUAAGGAGGGGCAAACCAACCCAGGUCAGAAACGGAGCAGGUCAAAACUCCCAUGCUGAUCAAAUAUCUAGGCCCAGGAUACAAAGGACCCCUAAUAAAAUCAACUCAAGAAGAUCUUCUCC